CAGCAGCCACGGGAAUACGUGGGGUGCAAGCGUUAAUCGGAAUUACUGGGCGUAAAGCGUGCGCAGGCGGUUCUAUAAGACAGAUGUGAAAUCCCCGGGCUCAACCUGGGAACUGCAUUUGUGACUGUAGAGCUGGAGUGCGGCAGAGGGGGAUGGAAUUCCGCGUGUAGCAGUGAAAUGCGUAGAUAUGCGGAGGAACACCGAUGGCGAAGGCAAUCCCCUGGGCCUGCACUGACGCUCAUGCACGAAAGCGUGGGGAGCAAACAGGAUUAGAUACCCCAGUAGUCCCUGUCUCUUAUAC
rnacentral:rRNA from 1 species